rnacentral:tRNA from 1 species
GGCGGUGUAGCUCAGCUGGCUAGAGCGUACGGUUCAUACCCGUAAGGUCGGGGGUUCGAUCCCCUCCGCCGCCACCA